AGUUUCAUCAAUGGACCCAUUCAGGCGAAGUUAUUCUUUUCUUCUAAUAGUAAAUAGUGGAUACACUUUCCCAAUUAUCCUCAUCGGGUCGUGCUAAAUUCUAGGUUCUUGUAGCUUUGCCAAAGGUGAUUUGCUUAUACGUUUUCGUUGUUGUGAAAAGGAUGGGUCAUGGGUUAACCGCCUCCCUCUGCAAUUACAAAGUGCAAAACUAGAAAUGGGUGGUGUCAAUGCUGGUUUGUUAUUGGGGUCUUGUGGUAGCUUCCAGGACCACUACAUUUUGAGCUGCAAUGUUGUGUUGAAUUACAUAUGACUUGAUAAUCACUUUCUCUACCUGGCGACUGUAAAAUUUUGGCUGUUCUGUUGUUUGUAGACAUUAAUUGCAAACUGACAUUUUUCAGUUAUCUUCAUCAUAUCUGUGGAUAUUUGUCUUAAUCUAAAUCAUAUUUAUCUUUCGCUUAUUUUGUUUAAAUUUUCUCCUACGCAAAUUGUGGGAUUUUCACUCAAAUAAAUUGUGGUUCAUAAA